CCGGAAAGAGAACAAACCAAAACCAACCACCAGACCCACAUGAUGUGUUUAAUCAUCUCUCUUCUCUUCUCUGACCUUUCCUUUGUUAUUCUUCUUUCUGCUUCCUCCUCUAAAAACUAUAUAUAAGCAGAUAAAUAUACAGUACAGACGCCUCUCUCUUUAUCUCUCUCUGUCUCUUGUGUGUAUAUCUGGUUGAAAUUGUUGAGCUAUGGCAGAAUCGGUAGAGCUACCGAGUCGGUUGGCGAUCCUCCCUUUCAGAAACAAGGUCCUUUUACCCGGGGCAAUCAUUCGGAUUCGAUGCACUUCUCCUAACAGUGUGAAAUUGGUGGAACAAGAACUAUGGCAGCGGGAGGAGAAGGGUUUGAUAGGCAUUUUGCCUGUUAGGGAUGCAGCGGCGGAGGAGACUGCGUCCGUGGGCCCCAUGUUAUCCCAUGGUGUUGGAAAUGAUUCUGCGGACAGAAGCUCCAAAAUUCAAGUUGGUAACUCCGAUAAUCUUAAACUUGAUGGCAAAAACCAGCAGGAAGUUAUUCGUUGGCAUAACAGGGGAGUUGCAGCUCGGGCUUUGCAUUUGUCGAGAGGAGUGGAGAAACCUAGUGGAAGAGUGACAUACAUAGUUGUUCUUGAAGGUUUGUGCAGAUUCAGUGUCCUGGAGCUUAGCAAAAGAGGGAUGUAUCACACUGCUAGGAUAUCUUCACUUGAGAUGACAAAGGCUGAGAUGGAGCAAGUGGAGCAAGAUCCUGAUUUUAUAUCAUUGUCUCGCCAAUUUAAGGCAACUGCCUUGGAACUUAUUUCAGUCCUUGAACAGAAGCAAAAAACUAGUGGAAGGACAAAAGUUCUCUUGGAAACAGUCCCUGUUCACAAGUUGGCAGAUAUUUUUGUUGCUAGCUUUGAGAUGAACUUUGAAGAGCAGCUAUCUAUGUUAGAUUCAGUUGAUCUGAAAGUGAGGCUUUCAAAAGCUACAGAGCUAGUUGACAGGCAUUUACAGUCAAUACGUGUAGCCGAAAAGAUAUCACAAAAGGUUGAGGGACAAUUAUCAAAAUCACAGAAGGAGUUUCUUCUGCGCCAGCAGAUGAGAGCUAUAAAAGAGGAGCUUGGUGACAAUGAUGAUGAUGAAGAUGAUGUGGCUGCAUUAGAAAGAAAGAUGCAAAGUGCAGGAAUGCCUUCAAAUAUCUGGAAGCAUGCCCAGAGGGAGUUAAGGAGGCUUAAGAAAAUGCAGCCACAGCAGCCUGGAUAUAAUAGUUCACGAGUUUACUUGGAACUCCUUGCUGAUCUGCCCUGGCAAAAGGCUAGUGAAGAAAAUGAUUUGGACCUAAAAGCUGCAAAAGAACGUCUUGACAGUGACCAUUAUGGCCUAAUCAAGGUCAAGCAACGAAUAAUCGAAUAUCUAGCUGUUCGGAAGCUUAAACCAGACGCAAGGGGCCCUGUCUUGUGCUUUGUUGGUCCUCCAGGAGUUGGGAAAACAUCUUUGGCAUCAUCUAUUGCUGCUGCCCUGGGCAGAAAAUUUGUUCGUAUAUCCCUUGGUGGUGUUAAGGAUGAGGCAGAUAUUAGAGGGCAUAGGAGAACGUACAUUGGAAGCAUGCCAGGGCGUCUUAUUGAUGGUUUAAAGAGGGUAGGUGUUUGCAAUCCGGUUAUGCUGCUGGAUGAGAUUGACAAGACAGGUUCUGAUGUGCGUGGGGAUCCAGCUUCAGCUCUCUUGGAGGUUCUGGACCCUGAACAGAACAAGACAUUCAAUGAUCACUAUUUGAAUGUGCCCUUUGACCUUUCAAAGGUGAUUUUUGUGGCUACUGCAAAUAGGGCAGCGCCUAUUCCGCCUCCACUCUUAGACAGGAUGGAAGUCAUUGAGCUUCCCGGAUAUACGCCAGAAGAGAAGCUUAGAAUAGCCAUGCGGCAUUUGAUCCCACGAGUCCUGGAUCAGCAUGGAUUGAGUUCUGAAUUCCUUCAAAUUCCAGAGGAUAUGGUGAAACUUGUCAUUCAGAGGUACACUAGAGAGGCUGGUGUUCGGAAUCUGGAGAGGAACUUAGCUGCUUUGGCUCGAGCUGCUGCUGUAAGGGUUGCAGAGCAAGAACAAGCUGUUCCGUUGAGCAAAGAUAUGCACCGACUGGCGUCUCCACUGUUGGAAAAUAGACUUGCUGAUGGAGCUGAAGUGGAAAUGGAAGUCAUUCCAAUGAAUGAUAACAAUCAUGAGUUAUCUCCAUUCAGGGUUGCCUCGCCUUUGGUUGUAGAUGAAGCAAUGCUGGAGAAAGUACUAGGGCCUCCAAGGUUUGAUGAUAAAGAAGCUGCGGAGCGUGUUGCAAAUCCUGGUAUAUCAGUUGGGCUUGUUUGGACCACCUUUGGUGGAGAAGUUCAGUUUGUGGAGGCAACAGCUAUGGUGGGAAAGGGUGAAUUACAUCUCACUGGGCAACUUGGUGAUGUUAUUAAAGAAUCAGCGCAAAUAGCACUGACAUGGGUACGAGCCAGGGCAACAGAUCUUAAGUUAGCUGCUCAAGAAAUUAAUCUGCUUGAGGGACGGGAUAUUCAUAUACAUUUCCCUGCUGGGGCUGUACCGAAGGAUGGGCCCUCAGCUGGUGUGACACUAGUAACAGCACUUGUUUCACUUUUCAGUCAGAGAAAAGUAAGAGCAGAUACAGCAAUGACCGGAGAGAUGACUUUGAGGGGCCUUGUGCUUCCUGUUGGUGGUAUCAAGGAUAAGAAUGGCGAACUUAUGCAAAAAAUAUGGAUUCUUAUUUUGUUCUCUUCCAGAUACUGGCAGCACACCGAUACGGUAUCCGGAGAGUAAUAUUACCAGAAAGAAAUUUGAAGGAUUUGGUUGAAGUGCCGGCAGCUGUUCUUGGAACUCUAGAGAUUUUACUAGCCAAGCGAAUGGAAGAUGUGUUGGAGCAGGCAUUUGAAGGCGGUUGCCCGUGGAGACAACAGGCGAAGUUAUGACAAUACUAUCCUUUUUAGGUUAUCAAAUCUAUGAUGAUGGGAGAGAAAGAGAGCGAGCGAGCAAGAAAGAAGAGAGGAGGUUAGCUUGUCAUCACAUUCAUUCAGCUGCUGCCUCGAUUAACAAUUUCGACCAGUGGUGUUUUCAACAAGAGAGCAGACUUUAACCGGUGCAAGGGGAACUAAUCAUCUGUCAAUAUCUCCCCCCACUUCCUGCCAUCUGAUAUAAAUUCAAUUAGUGUAUAAUUUAAUAUUUAAUUGAGAGGCAAAGGUUGCCAUUUGAUUUAUGGUGACUUGUUAUUUGUAAUUUGUUUUUGAGCAUUGGGAAUUGUGUCUGAGGUCCAUAUUGUUUUGCUUUGUUUUUUUUCCCACUUGUUUUUAAAUGACCCAUGACUGUAAAUAGGGAUUGUAACUACUCGAAGCCAGAGUUGGAUUGAUCAGGACUUGGAAAUGACAAUUUGUUAGAAGUUUCAAUUGA